GUUAACGUAGCUUAAAUAUAGAGCAUGGCACUGAAGAUGCCAAGAUGGGCCGUAAGAAGCCCCGAUAAC
rnacentral:tRNA from 1 species